CAACAAAUGUCUCGGUUAGAUCAGCCCGUUCCCCCUGCAGUUGGAUAUCCACCAAUGCAGCAACCUCACGGAUACCCCCCACAACCCCAUGGUUAUCCACCACCACAACAACAGCCUCAGGGUUACCCACCAUCUCAGCAACAGCCUCAGGAGUACCCACCACCUCAGCAACAACCUCAGGAUUACCCACCACCUCAGCAGCAGCCUCAGGGUCAUCCACCACAACAGCAGCCUCAAGGUUAUCCACCACCACAGCAGCCGCCUCAGGGUUACCCACCAUCACAGCAGCUGCCUCAGGGUUACCCACCAGCCAACUAUCCCCCACCUGGUGCUGGAGAACCCAAAUCUGAUCAUCUUCAAUGAGUUGGAACUUUCUUUUUUUGGCAGCGAAAUCCAUUGAUCUCUACUUGAAUUUAGUACGGUACUUUUAGACUAUU
rnacentral:lncRNA from 1 species